CCGAAAUUUAGUUAAGGCUACGUAAAGUAUGGUGCAAGUAUUUUGUCGCAUUGAGCAACUCCAUGUACAUGUGAUUCGAAGUGAAAAAACACAUGCAGUAAAGGUUUGGGAUAAAAGUGAACACGAAUGUACGAAGUGGCCGUUUUUUUGACAGCCUCUAUACUUACAACAUAAGAGUCAGCGGCGCAGUGGUGAAUUCAAGUGAACUCGUCAGUUAAAACCGCUGCCAGGUAGGAGGACGAGAGAAAACCAGCAAAGUCACCCAGGCAGAUCCAGAAGCACCCGUGCAGGGAAUGACAAGAAUCCCUCACUGCGCUCUGUCCGAGGUCUCUGACCCUAUCAUAUGACACCUUCGUGAUACUUCAUACCUACUUUUACCUUCUACCAGUGCCCUUAACUGAUUUUUCAUUAUAUAUUCACAGAUAUUUUUUUCUGGCUAAUUCAUGACAAGUUCCGAAGUGGCCGACAUUCUAAUUUGGCAAUUAAGCAACGUAAAUAUUUUAAACUACAAAAAUCCAUUUCUGAUAAAAGAAAAGUACAGGUAACCUCUGAUAAGCAACGGGUAUAACGAUUAAAUUAUGCAGCUGUGCAAAUGUAUGAAAACUGGGAAACAUGCUUGUAAUUUACUAGUAAAUAAAUAGAUAUAUCAGUGUUAGCGCCCAGGAAACUUCUUUUCUUCGACACAAAAAA